rnacentral:tRNA from 1 species
AGAGUGUUAGUCCAAAUAUAAGACCUCUGAUUUCGGCUCAGAAGAUUACAGUUUAAAUCUGUAACACCCUU